GGCUGGUCUGAGGGCAGUGGUGUUUACAACUAAGUGAUCACAGCCAGUUACAGAUUACUUUGUUCUUUCUCCACUCCCACUGCUUCACUUGACUAGCCUGAA
ensembl:misc_RNA Y_RNA Y RNA